rnacentral:ribozyme from 1 species
GCCGCUCGGAACUUUGCACACCUCUACGCGGUGGGCGGUAGGCAACACAGCAUGGAUGUUGUGGCUAAGAUGCAGGG